ACUGAAAUGGACUGGACUAUAGAGACCCCAGAUUAGGAAAUCCAAGCAGCUGCAAAUGCUGAUGGCCAAGAAUCAGCAGAAAGUAGAGCAACAGCCCAAGCAGAAAGGAGUAGACAAAACCAAGGCAAGUCUCUUAGAGAGAAUUAUUCUAAUUGUUCUAAAGGGCAGGGAAGAGACUCAACUUGGUUAAAAGUGGGGUGGGAGGAGAAGGAAUUUGACUAGGGGUUAUCUACCACUUACACUGGGAGCUGAAGUGAAGAGAGAGGAGAAGAAGAAAAGAAGAAAUUGGUAAUAUCCUGGGCAGAGCUUUUGCUGCUGGGGAAUGAGAGAGGCAAGGGAGAAAGCCCUCUCAAAAGAGGUUAAAGAAGUAUCAAAUCCAGUUCUUGGUAUCAAUUUAUGUUCGUCUACCUAGUCCAAGAAGAUGUGAUGAGAGACUUAAUUUAAAUGUCUGUUAAAAUCAACUUAAAGGAUUCCAUAACAUCCCACUUAUUUGCUGAAGCUUAAUAUAAGUCAGGAACUAUGAAUAGACCCUGCUUUCAAGGAGCUCAUAGUCUUCUAUGAGGGACAACGAAAAAACAACUAUGUGGAAUUAUGCUAGAAAUUAUUUUUUAAAAAAGCAAAUGAAAUUUGUUGGGCAUGUUUCACACUUAGUAUUCUAUGCUGGCUCCUGGUGGUUUUUCCUUCUGUGUUGGAAUUUUUUGAGUGGUGGGUUUUGGGUUUGUUAGUUUUUAUUCUUGUUAUUGUUUUCUGCUUCUGUUUCAAAGUGCUAAAAACCAUUAAUCCUCAGAUUUACCUAUAAAUAUUAAUUUAUUCAGUGUAUAACUUUGGGAAACCGUAUUUUUGACAAGAAGGACAAUACUUUCUAGCCCUAUGAUACCUCUCAUCCUUUUUCAAAGAUUACUUGGGAUUGGUUCUGCCGUUGAAUCUCCAAGUACAAAAGAAUAUAACAUUUCUGGGCUUGGAUAAAACAACUGUAUGCAAUUUUCAAAUCUGGGAGCUUCUGACUACCACUGUUUGUUCUAUCCUGUUCAGUUGGAAGAUCCUUUUCUAUGGAAGAGAAUACAGAAAUAACAGUAGAAAAAUUGAGCUUUCACUGACAUUUGUAAACAAGGCAGCUAGGUGGCACUGUUGGUAGAGAACAUAGCAUUAACUCAUUCUGAGUUAACCUGACUGCCACCAUUUUUACCCAUCAGAGGAAAAAAAAUGAAUGAUGGGUCUUUGUCAAUUAUAUGGCAAUGAGGCUGAAAAAGCAAGAACAGCAGUAGAAUGAGUAAACAGUAAAAGUAAAUAUAAAAUAAUCUCUAAUUAUAAUUAGCAUCUGUCAGUUAAAGGCUUGAAAGCUAAGAAAGAUAAUGGGAAAAUUGGAAAAUCAGAUACAAAUAGUAUUCGUACUUGAAGAAUGUGACAAAGAACUGGGAUUAUUUAUGAUGAUGAAGGAAAGCAUAAAAAUAGUUCAAUAAGAGCCUUCAGGCUUAGAAAGGAUUUUCAAAUAUCAAACAACCAGAUGUUUUCCACAUUCACAGAAGACUGAAUACAAUUUUAAGUAGUUGUGUAACAAAUUUAAUGUUGAUCAAAUAAUGAUAACAGCUAUCAUUUGUAAGAGCUCUUAAGAUUUUCUUACGAUAAGCCUGUGAGUUAUAUAGUGAAAUAGUUAUCACCUCUCCUCUACAGAUGAAAAAACUAAGGCUAAACAAUAUAAAAUAGGGUUGUCCAAUGUUUAAUGGAGAAUGAUAGGAUUUGAAUGUCAAUUUCUUGACUCCAAAUCUAGUCCUUUUUAUUAUGAAUUUAAUAAACAUAAAUAUUUUAGUAUUCAACAACAGAAAGAAGAACACAUAUGGAAAUUUGAAAUUCUAUUAUGAAACUAAAAACAUAUAUGUUGAAUUUAGCACAAUAGUUACAAAACGGCCCUAUUUGGCUCUAUUCUCUUCUGAACUUCCUUCUUUGCUUUUUGGCAUAUUAAAAAAUAUAUAUUUUAUUGGUACUUUGUUCUUUCUUUUCCUCUCUAGUCCUUCUUGGACUAUAACACAAGAAGUCUGUAAAACUUAUUGGGAACCAAUAAUGAGCUUCCAAAUAGCUUAGUAGUUUACUAAGAGAGACUACAGAACCAAUCCAGCAAAUUAUAUGAAAAUACAAAUUAGUCUCUAAAGGUAAAACAGCAACUUUUCUUUUGUGAUUUAAAUGUGAUCCAGUAAAAGAUAAAAGAGAUUGCAACAGUGACUUUACCAAUCCUUCCCUCCUUGCUAAACUUCAGAGGAUUCCUCAUGCUCUUAGAGUAAAAUAUAUACUCUUCUGCCUGUCAUUUAAAGUUUUUACUUUCUCUUCCCAAAGAGCUUUCUAAGCUUUUUGCAACAUUAUCACCUUUGUGCCUCCUGUAUUACAAAGCCAACAGUGCAUUUUCUUCCUUUAUGUCUGUCCUCUAUGCCCAAGAAUGCCUCCCUGCUCAUUCUGUCUUUUAGAAUCACCAUCUUCCUUUUUCAAAGCUCAGUGUAUGUGCUAUUUCUUAUGGCAAAGUAUUUCUGAAUCCACUAUAAUUGUGAGUGCUUUCUUCUCCUCAAAAGUGUUAUUAUAAUAUUUAUCUGUUUACAUGUUAUAUCACCCAGCAGCAAAUAAACACUUUGAGGGCAGAA